rnacentral:rRNA from 1 species
UACGGAGGGUGCGAGCGUUGUCCGGAAUCAUUGGGCGUAAAGGGCGCGUAGGUGGCCCCUCAAGCGUGCGGUGAAAGUCAGGGGCUCAACCCCUGAUCGGCCGUGCGAACUGGGGAGCUUGAGCACUGUAGAGGCAGGCGGAAUUCCGGGUGCAGCGGUGGAAUGCGCAGAUAUCGGGAGGAACACCGGUGGCGAAGGCGGUUCUCUGGGCCUGUACUGACGCUGAGGAGCGAAAGCGUGGGGAGCAAACAGG